rnacentral:rRNA from 1 species
AUUGAACGCUGGCGGCAGGCCUAACACAUGCAAGUCGAACGAGUGGCGGACGGGUGAGUAAUGUCUGGGAAACUGCCCGCUGGAGGGGGAUAACUACUGGAAACGGUAGCUAAUACCGCAUACCAUCGGAUGUGCGCAGAUGGGAUUAGCUAGUAGGUGGGGUAACGGCUCACCUAGGCGACGAUCCCUAGCUGGGCUGAGAGGAUGACCAGCCAGACUGGGACUGAGAGACGGUCCAGAGUCCUACGGGAGGCAGCAGGGGGGAAGAUUGCACAAUAGGCGGAAGCCUGAUGCAGCCAUGCCGCGUGUAUGAAAAAGGCCUUCGGGUUUUAAAGUACUGUUAGCGAGGAGGCGUUACUCGCAGAAGAAGCACCGGCUAACUCCGUGCCAGCAGCCGCGGUAAUAC